rnacentral:rRNA from 1 species
GGGGGUGAAAGGCCAAUCAAACCGGGAGAUAGCUGGUUCUCCCCGAAAGCUAUUUAGGUAGCGCCUCGUGAACUCAUCUCCGGGGGUAGAGCACUGUUUCGGCUAGGGGCCAUCCCGGCUUACCAACCCGAUGCAAACUGCGAAUACCGGAGAAUGUUAUCACGGGAGACACACGGCGGGUGCUAACGUCCGUCGUGAAGAGGGAAACAACCCAGACCGCCAGCUAAGGUCC